AGUGAACGCUGGCGGUAGGCCUAACACAUGCAAGUCGAACGGCAGCACAGUAAGAGCUUGCUCUUACGGGUGGCGAGUGGCGGACGGGUGAGGAAUACAUCGGAAUCUACUUUUUCGUGGGGGAUAACGUAGGGAAACUUACGCUAAUACCGCAUACGACCUACGGGUGAAAGCAGGGGAUCUUCGGACCUUGCGCGAUUGAAUGAGCCGAUGUCGGAUUAGCUAGUUGGCGGGGUAAAGGCCCACCAAGGCGACGAUCCGUAGCUGGUCUGAGAGGAUGAUCAGCCACACUGGAACUGAGACACGGUCCAGACUCCUACGGGAGGCAGCAGUGGGGAAUAUUGGACAAUGGGCGCAAGCCUGCUCCAGCCAUACCGCGUGGGUGAAGAGGCCUUCGGGUUGUAAAGCCCUUUUGUUGGGAAAGAAAAGCAGCAGGUUAAUACCCCGCUGUUCUGACGGUACCCAAAGAAUAAGCACCGGCUAACUUCGUG
rnacentral:rRNA from 1 species